rnacentral:rRNA from 1 species
GGAAGUAAAAGUCGUAACAAGGUUUCCGUAGGUGAACCUGCGGAAGGAUCAUUACCUAGAGUUGCGGGCUUUGCCUGCCAUCUCUUACCCAUGUCUUUUGAGUACCUUACGUUUCCUCGGCGGGUCCGCCCGCCGACUGGACAAUUUAAACCACUUGCAGUUGCAAUCAGCGUCAGUAACAAAUUAAUAAUUACAACUUUCAACAACGGAUCUCUUGGUUCUGGCAUCGAUGAAGAACGCAGCGAAAUGCGAUAAGUAGUGUGAAUUGCAGAAUUCAGUGAAUCAUCGAAUCUUUGAACGCACAUUGCGCCCCUUGGUAUUCCAUGGGGCAUGCCUGUUCGAGCGUCAUUUGUACCUUCAAGCCUUGCUUGGUGUUGGGUGUUUGUCUCGCCUCUGCGCGUAGACUCGCCUCAAAACAAUUGGCAGCCGGCGUAUUGAUUUCGGAGCGCAGUACAUCUCGCGCUUUGCACUCAGAACGACGACGUCCAAAAGUACAUUUUUACACUCUUGACCUCGGAUCAGGUAGGGAUACCCGCUGAACUUAAGCAUAUCAAUAAGCGGAGGA